rnacentral:lncRNA from 1 species
GUCGAUUUUUCAAAUCAUUUCUAGAAAACUUCGUUAAUUUUGUAUCACUUAUCUCGUGUGAUGAAUAAAUAUCAACUCUGCAUAAACUCAGUGAUGCAAGUUGCGAUAACCUUCCAGUCUUUUUAUUAGGAUUCAUGUGCUGCGGUUUACUGAACUUUUCAUUGAAAGGGUACAAUUCGACGAUCCUCUGACGUAAGGGCGUUCCUAGAUUUCUACGUGAGCCCUGUCUUCCGUAUGACGCUAUGCUUUUCGGAGCUUUUGUGGAAGUAAGGAUACGCCCUUACGUUAGAGGAGCGCCGAAAUAAGAGAACUUUGUUGCUAUCAGAUUUGACUCGCUUUUUGGGCUGGCUCUUUUUCAACAAAUUUUCUAUCAACCAAAUUGAACAAAUUAUUUUCAUUUGAAAUAUGACAAUGAAAAUUGUAGAAAUAUAUAAAACUUGGUUUAAUGACGUCGUAGACUACACAAAAAAAUUGCUGGAUUUGAGACACAAAUUGAAGUGACUUGCAGAGAAGAGAGAGAGAAGUCGCUUCAAAGAAAAAUAUUAUUGGUUGGGAUGGAAUAGAUUCUAUAUCUUCUCCUUUUUUUUCUUGGAUGCACAUCUUGCUGUGGGAGGUGCUACCACGGAUAAAUGAGUGUGGUGAACUGAGCUCGAUGCGUAAAGCAUGGCCCCAUAAAGUGAAACUCCACGUCCACGUCAAGCCUUAUCGUCCAUUAGCCUCGUUUUACUUAAAUCUAUUACAGUCAUCUAAUCACAUCCUUUCAUUUAGAAUUUUUGUGGAGCUCAAUGGCUACAAGUCCACUUUGCAAGAUCAAUUUUUCAUUAUAUGUUUAAGCUUUCACACCAUAUUAUGUGUUAUGAUUUUGUAAAAGGAGUCUUUUAAAACCAAUUCGUAAUGAGUGACAAAGAACUUUUUACUAACAAUUAACUUAUUAGGUAUAACUUCUAUCAAAAAUGUUUGAAGGGGGCUUGAUGAAUAACAAAGGCUUUGCCUUUUGCUGUAAUCUCCUCAUAUUAGCGUUAAGUUUUUCUGAGGUCAAGAGCAGAGUUGAUUACUUUGAUGACGAUUACUUAGGUUUCAAGAUUACAGACCUCAAAGCCGACGUAGUCAAUUACCACCAAGCCCUGGAAAAGUUCGACAAGUCAAACAGUAGCUUCGACGCCUUAUCGGGGUGCCUCAGGUACUUCUUCAGAUACGUGGACCUGACGCGACCGGACGAACUGACAUCCUUCAUUUUCUCAUACUCCAAGCUGCGGCCGGACUUGUUUCCUUUGGUUCAAGAGAGGCGGAGCGCAAACGAAGGCCACGCUCAGCUAAAAUCGAACCUGUUGAUCAAGAGAAAGGACGGAACUUUCUUCCUGAUCUACCCAAACCGACCAAGCGUCGAUUUCAUGUCAGCGAGGCUGAAGCAAGAUGAGAACGGGCUUUGGGCCUACGAUGGGUUGAACGAACCAAUGAAGAAUUGGGUGUUGGUAACCAUGUACUGGCGCAAACAGUAUCCGCACGAAUAUUUCCGGAACGUGACGGUCGACUUUCGCUGGGAUAAGCUCGAUGAUGAUAAUAACUUUGCUACAAGGGUACAGGCCUUUGACAGGCCAAAGUUUGAAUAAGUUCUCCUCUGUACAAUCAAUGAAGAGGCACCAUAUCAACCAUUACAAUCAUGCACUAAAGAAGUUCAUAGACUUGAUUUAAGGAAAGUUUCAUUCCGAAGCAACUGAUAAAUAAGUUUGAUCCAAGUUUAAGAGAAGGACCAACGUAUGUUUGCACCUGUUGUGGAAACUUAUGUUUUUUGAAAAAGGUUAAAUCACUAGAGAGUGUUGCAGAUACAUUAGAUAAUAGUCAAAUAUCCCAUGAGUCAAUUUACUUUGUGACUAACACUAAUUACAUUUGUAUCAGAUGCCUUACGUACAUACAGAAAAGCAAACUUAAUCCAGUAGCCCUAGCUAAUGGCGACUUGAUUUUCCUCAAGUUCCGCAGUGUAUUUUAGAUUUAUCUCUUCUUGAGGAAAGGAUAGUAACUCCAGUUUUACCUUUCUUGCAAAUAAUAGAACUUAAACCUCAUUCCUUGAAUUCUCAGCUGGGAAUCAAAGGCUCAGUCGUUCAUAUACCCAUAAAUUUGAAUAAUAUUUUUCAGCAUAUUUUACCCCGUUCUUUUGAUCAUUUAUUUUUACUCACAUUAGAACUUAAACGAAACAUGAAUCAUUUGUCUAAUUAUCUCCAUGAAACUGUUCGUCCCCACAAGAUUUUACAAGCUUUGAAAUAUUUAAUCGAAACACCUUUAUACAAGAAACAUAACAUUACAAUCUCAAAAGAAUUAUUUGAAAGGUAUAACAAUUCAUCCAAUUUAUCUAUCUCUGCCGAAGAUCAAAUUAAUUUACGCAAUGCAAUUCUAAUUCCAAAUAAUAGCAAUGGUGAAAAUGAUACCUAUGAUGAGAAUGUAGAAAACAAUUGUACUUCAGAAGAAGGAAUAAAGUACUAGGGGGCUAUGCCCCUGACCGCUACGCGGCCCAACCCCCAGAGGGCGCAUCGCGCUGCUACUAGGCCCGCUUUGACAAAAGAACGACCCCCAAAAAAAUGAAAUGAUUUUCAUACUCGACUCUCAUAUGUCCAACCUCCCUCUGACCGGGAGCGAUUGAACCAAUUAGAAUCGAAUAGAGAAAUCGGCAUUUAUUUCAAACUUCUCGCAAAAACUGAAACGAAACGGAAUAAAGCGUAUGGCGUAAGCGUGGAUAGUCUGUGCCAAAGGAGCAUACCUUCUAUUCACCUAUCUUACCCUACUAACAGACCAUGAUUCUGCAUUUCCCGCUUAGUUUAAAUUUCCGCUAAAUUUGAAAUUCCCGCCAUUUUUAAUUGGCGGGAAUUUCAAAUUUUGCCCCCCUUUCUGAGCUUUCUGGUCUCCUCUUAUAUAAAAAACCUGAGUCCUAUUUUCAAAUUCUGAUUAAAGCGGGCUCAUCUAGGGCCUAUCACCUAUCGAUUACCGCAAAAAUCAUGGGAAUCGGCCCGGUAGAACUCUCAAACGAACUAUGACAAAAAAUAUAAAUUUACAUUGUUUAAAUGGGAAAAUUCGCAACUUUAACAUGUAAUAUAAAAAAAACUGGGUCAUAUUCUGAAAAUCUGAACAAAACGGGCUCAUCUAGAGACAAUUUCCCGUCAAUGGCCGCAAAAAUCAUGAAAAUCGGCCCGGUAAGCGUCACCAGUUAUGCAAGAUUAGGAGGCCUUGGAGCUUAUAUAUAUGAUGACUAGCUGCUCCGGGCGCCCUACGGGCGCCCUCCACAGCUAGCAAUAGUGGUGCAGUAGCUUGAUUGGAAUCGGAGCAAUUAGUUGAAUCUUUUUCAUAAUGAUUAUUCUGUGGCAGACAAUGAAUGACUUUAACUGCCUCUCUGCGUUACAGGGUGGAGACUGCCGUCCUACCAAAAAUGUGAUAAAAAGCCCGCAUUAUCAUUUUUUUUUUUUUUUUUUUUGUUACGUUUUAAUCAACAAAACCGACAAAACCGAUCAACGUAGUCGACCGACCAACAAAGUAAAGAGAGAGGAAGAAACAAAUACCAAGCAAAUUUGAAAUAAAAUUAGAAAGAGAAAAGAACAUAGAUGAAUAAAAUGUCUGUAACUAUACGUGUUGUUAGCAAUUGCAGUUAAAAGGUAUCAAAAAGCGGUAAAGCGGAGCGGCCGAGGGAUUGCGAAGAAAUGUGGGUGGCGAGUGACGACCUGACGAACGACGAUGCGACCCAAACCACCUUCUUUGAGGUUGGUGGGAGGAAAGCUAGACGAAAGAAAACGGAGAUAGCCGAAAGAACGUGGUGGGAGGGUGGCUGAGACCCUAGAGGGGGGGUAUCUAGGGAAGGGCAAGCAGGUAGCGGCCGGACGACCGCUGGAAACAGCUGAACUUUACUCGUCGAUAAAAGUAAGAAAAUUUGAGAAAAUCGAAAAAACAAUUGCAGCCUGCAAAUCUACAGAUCAGAAGCUUUCAUUUAAAAAAACCCAUGCAAAUCGGUCCAGUGGUUCUCUCAAAGUUAAUGUCCCAAAAUUCGGACUUUAUUCUGAAUUAAUGGGAGAAAAUUUGAGCCCAGCUAAACUUCAUUCGUCGAUAAGAGUAAGAAAAUUUGAGAAAAUCGAAAAAACAAUCACAUCCUGCAAAUCUACAGAUCAUAGGCUUUCAUUUAAAACAAAAAUCAUGUAAAUCGGUCCGGUGGUUCUCUCAAAGUUAACGUCCAAAGAUUCGGAUCUCAGUUUUAAUACAUCGGAGAAAAUUUGAGAAAAUUAUAGGAGAAAAUUUGAGAAAAUCGAAAAACAAAUGACAGCCUGCAAAUCUACAGCUCAGGGGCUUUCAUUUAAAAAAAAGAUCAGGCAAAUCGGUCCGGUGGUUCUCUCAAAGUUAAUGCCCCAAGAUUCGGAACUUUGCAUUUUAAUAUAUAUAGGAUGACUCUAUACAAGAAGAAUUAUCAUCUCAAAAUGAAAUAAUGUUCUUGAAUUUGACAAUGUAAUUGAAGAAAAUGUGGAUGAAUUGUUAAUUUUUGACCAUAAUGAAUCUAUCGCAAAUAGGGCAAAAAUAUGUAUAGCUCCUGGUGAAAAAGAAAAACCUAUAUCUUUAAACAAACCAGACUUAGAUGAAUUAGCUCAUCCUAAAAUGUAGGCUGGAAAAUCAUAUCAAUUAAAAUCGGACAUAUAUUAUCAUGAACGUGUUAAAUCAGAACUGUUAAGAUAUGAUAGAAGGUCAUGUAUCCCCCGUAAAAUACUAUACAUGGCAAAAAACAAACAGAAUUACUACUGUUUUCUAAAAUCAACAUUGCAGUUCGAAAAUGUAUGACUUUUAAUUUGAAAGCAUCAGAAGCAGUGUCAGAAGAAUAUUUAAAAACUCUUUUCGAUAAAAAUUCUGCAUACGCUUUUUUAGAAGAUAUAAGGUUAACACCUGCAUACUGGGAAAAAAAUAAAAACAAGAAGAAACAUCCAACAUGAAUAUGUUGGAAAAGCGUGCCGAAUAAUUGAAAUCUAGUGUGUGCACUAUUUCCAUUUCAACGAGAUGUGUAUAAAUUAGUACUCUCUGCAAAUUGGGGAGGAAUUAUUGAUUUGAUACCGUUGAAUGUAAAUACAUUUUAUUGAAAAUACAUUUUAUUGAAUAAAGAAAGUAACAUAAUUAUAUUGGAUGAACAAAGAAAAUAACAUCAUAAAUCAUUUAACUGAAUUGGUUCAUUCAGAAUUUCAAAUUAAAGUUUGGAAAUUGUUCAGUUUGUUGCGUCAUGUUGGAGAUUGCUCAGUUUGCAGCAGCAGAGUAUGGAGUUUACUCUGUUUAAUGAGUCAAACUUUGUCUUUUCUCUUUUCUUCGAUUGAUUUGUAUUAAAAUGAGACUUUAAGGUAUCUUUUCUGGAAAUAAAAAAAAAAAACGUGACAAAAAAAAAAAAAAAAAAAUGCAACUUACACUCAGAGAAUCAACAAGGGAACCUAACCUCCAAAACUCUGCCUUCCAAUUGGUCGAAUUGGAGAUUGCUCACUUCGCUGCAGUUGUAACUAUGGAGAUGCAGCCAACUUGGGUUAACCGCUUUUGAAAAGACGCUGAUUCGCUAAAUAGUUAUGGCGGCAUUUAAACUUCUAAUUUAAAUCCUCCGAGCGUAGAAAAGCUUAUUUGACGUACCUAUGAAAGAAAAUAAUACGGUUUCCACGGGAAAAUGUUCUCAAGGGUUUCCAGUAACAGGAUAAUUCGGUUUCUCGAUGAAUGACCUUCAGGGCUUGACACUAUAACGGUUCAAAAACGGAAGAACGGAUCCGACGGAAAAAAAUUCGGACCGCCCCUUGAAAAGCAUUGGUCGAUCGGUGUGCUGUACUACAGUACAUCCGAGUGAUUUCAAAAAGCGAGCCCUAUAGGCACGCUUAAAAAAUCUUAUGGCAAUGAUUCGACAACUGGGCCCUCCAACUCUUUUUUUGACUUUAUCUGCUGCUGAAAAAAUUGGCCAGAGCUAAUUGUCAUACUUUAUUCCAAUUUUCACCACAAGCAAAUUACACUAGAAGAGGCAAAUAAUUUAUCUAAUAAUGAAAAAAUAAGUCUUAUCAAAAUGACCCAGUCAUAUGCGCUCAUAUUUUCAUCAUAAAAUAAACAGUCUAUUUCACACUAUUUUAUUAAAUAAAAU